rnacentral:lncRNA from 1 species
UCAAAUAAGAUUCAUAGAUAAUCUGAUCGUAAAUCCACAAUUCAUCGGAUCUCUACAAACACACCGCAAAAGAAGAUUACAUCGGAUAGAUCUCCAUGAAGAUCAUGGAGAACUUUGUAUUGAAUAUCCAAGAGAGAGAAGUUGCCAUCUAGCUACUAGCUAUGGACCCGUAGGUCUAUGGUGAACUACUCACGCAUCAUCGGAG